UCUGGGGCCGCCACCACCCUGGGGGACCCGUGGCUCACAGUCUCGGGAAGCAACGGGCGAGGCGCUGCAAAGUGCGCAGGGAGCCAGCGGCUCGGCCCCGCCCCGGCGGUCUCGGGUUCUUUCUGCCACCGCCGGAGACUGGCUGUGCUGGGUGCAGCCAGACGGUGCCACCUGCCAUUUGCUGGAGAAACACCUUUGCUCAUGCGUUUAGGGAGGUCGUUAUUCGUCAGCCAAGUGCUACCUGAAGACCCCUAGGGCUUUGGCCAGGGCUACACCGUACUGUUCAGCACAUUGCUGCUACUCAAUAUGUAGCUGUAUAAUGAAUGGAGGUAUGAACAGAAGAAUUUGAAUGUUGCAGGAGAUGUUGAAUUACAAAUAAAAUGUAUUAGGAGAUUGCAAUAAAUGUAAUGCUGCAGGGGCUGGUGUGUGUGUACCCUGAGAAAAAGCCUGAGACACAGAGUGAAGAAUUCUACUCAACUGAGACUAGAUCUUAGGCAUCAUUCUCUUUCAUAGUACAGAAGACACAUUUAGUAUAUAGUAAGAAAAGUGAGAUCCAACUACUCAAGCUUUUACAAGCUAGUAUAAGUGCGUUACUUGCAUCUUCAUGAAGGUGUCACGACCCCCUGGGUACCAGGAACAUGAGGGCAGGCUUGACCCAAGGCGCCAUCUGGAGAAUCUGCCCCAUAUCUCAAGGGUCUAGGAGUGACCAUGGUCAAGAAGAUGUGAAUCAGCUUGUGGGUUUACGGAGGAUUUGUUCUUUUCUGUGGAAAACUGGAGCAUUCUGUUAGGCCAGCAGCUCCUCCAGCCUCCCCUCUCCUCCUGCACUCUCGCCCCAGCCAUUGUGUAAUUGGGUUUACAAAAAAUA